CGAAGAGAUUGGGUUUCUACAGCAGACAGCGGUUUUAAUGGGAUAAAAACGCUUUUUACCGAGUUUAUUAGGAAUAUUUGAGUGUAAACGUGUUUUUUGACAACAUUUGCAAGAUUGUGUGGGGGGAUUUGCGUAACUUUUGUCAAAGUGUAGAGCGGAUACGAUGCCCCUGUGGAAGAACUGCAUAACAAUGAAAUCCCGACAUCCUUUUCGGCAGUUAUUGAUUUAAAGAAGAUUUCAGAUGAACCCAUAACGAAGAAUGAUUUAGAGUGUGAAAAAAGUCAAAUUAAGGAUACUAAAAUGAACAUGUGCCUGGAUAUUCACUGCGAAGCGGAAUAAAUGUAUCACAACCUAUCUUGCAGUCUUGUCCACCGAAUGGUUAACGAAAACAAUUACGAAAUGAAUCUUAUUAUAUCUCCCGUUGAUGAAAAAGAUUUACCUCCAAUUGAUAUCUAAUUAAUAAGUAUUGAAGAGUCAUUGACAGACAUUAUUAGGCACAGCAAUUUGGAUCGUUUUGUAUGUAGGAUUUUCAUAUUUGAUUCCAUCUGAAUCAGAUAAGUUUUACAUAGCAGUCGUGAUCGAACCUUCUUUUGACUACCUUCACAAUAUUGAUCAAAUGAUCGAGCAUUUACUAGAAAUAUUCAGCAGCUACCAUCUGUUUGAAAUUCCAAUUUGGUACCAUUUGAAAAUAAUAUAAAUGUGUCAUUAACACCUGUAGGACAAAGCUUUCAUAGUUAUGGUAGCAAGUUAUUUGAAAAACAUUGCGAUAAUCGUUUUUUUGUUAAUCCAAUGGAUGGGAAAGAGAUGAAGUUAUAUCAAUGUAUCAGCAUGGUGCCUUACAGACAUGAUCAACAGCACCCGUAUUGUUCAAGUAGCCAUAUGAUGGCUAUAGUAGCUGACUGGUACCGUUGUCCCAAAGUGAAAAUAAAUUCAGCAGAUGCAAGACUUCAUGUAUCAAAUUUUUCGGUAUGUCUUGUGGAUUAUCAAACGUGCAUAGCCUCAGACUAUUUCAAAGAGUCCUUAGACAAACACAGUGUUUUGAUAUGCUUAGAACAGUAUUUAUAAGGCUACUAAAGUUAUCAAAAGCAAUCUACCUGCAUCUGAUGAUAACUUGAUGGCGUCUUUUUCCCUAGUUUGUUUUUCUUUUUCGUCCUUCGGUUCAUUAUCAUCAAUCUUUACUUUUCUUGCAAGUAAAUCGUGCAGUCGAAGUGCUGAUGUCAAUAUCAUAGUUCUGGCAGUGUUUCUUUUUUUGGCAAGUACAGCUCGCGUUGUAUCUCGAUCAGCUUUUUGUCUUGAGUCAAACCAUGUGUAUUUCGGUUGGUAUGUUAGUACAUGUUUGCUGGCUUUCUGUUGUUUGCUGGAUAAGUUUAUCUUUUUUUAAAUGUUUCAUUCAUUUAAGUCUUUCUGCAUAAUGAAAUUGAAAGUCAUCUCCAGGGUUUUAUAUCGAUUGAUAGUGAAUUUGAUUAUAUGUUCAUCAUUGGUAGCUAUCAACGUAACCUUAAGUUAUGUAACAAGUAAUGGAGACAACCUGGGCUAUUCUAUUCACACCUGCUAUAUCACUAACUCCGAUAUGAUUCUGUAAACUUUUGCUCUGCCUGUGGGAUUGUUGAUAAGUUUUAAUAUGUUAAUGUUUGCGGCCAUGGUGUGUAGAAUUCCUAAAAGGGUAGAAAUUCAAGUGUGGAAUGAUGAUAAAAAAAUUGAAACAUAUUUCCGGCUUUCUAAUAUUAUUGGCGCAACAUGGAUGUUU